rnacentral:rRNA from 1 species
GAGAGUGGCGAACUGGUGAGUAACGCGUGGGUGACCUGCCCCGAAGACGGGGAUAACCGUUGGAAACGACGGCUAAUACCCGAUAUACUCGGUGAUUCGGUUCAUCGAGUAAAGGCUCCGGUGCUUCGGGAUGGGCCUGCGGCCUAUCAGCUAGUCGGUGGGGUAAUGGCCCACCAAGGCGAAGACGGGUAGGGGGCGUGAGAGCGCGGCCCCCCACACUGGCACUGAGAUACGGGCCAGACUUCCACGGAAGGCAGCAGUCGGGGAUAUUGCACAAUCGGCGAAAGCCGGAUGCAGCGACGCCGCGUGGGCGAUGAAGGCCUUCGGGUUGUAAAGCCCUUUUAUGGGGGAAGAGACAAGGACGGUACCCCAAGAAUAAGCGUCGGCUAACUACGUGCCAGCAGCCGCGGUAAAACGUAGGACGCAAGCGUUAUCCGGAUUUACUGGGCGUAAAGAGCGUUGAGGCGGUUCCGUAAGUUGGGCGUGAAAGCCCCGGGCUUAACCCGGGGAGGUCGUUCAAUACUGCGGGACUUGAGGGCAGCAGAGGGAGGCGGAAUUCCCGGUGUAGCGGUGAAAUGCGUAGAUAUCGGGAGGAACACCAGUGGCGAAGGCGGCCUCCUGGGCUGUUUCUGACGCUGAAGGCGAAAGGCUAAGGGGAGCGAACGGGAUUAGAAACCCCGGUAGUCCUAGCCGUAAACGAUGGAUGCUGGGUGUGGGGGGGUAUAGAUCCCCUCCGUGCCGAAGCUAACGCGUUAAGCAUCCCGCCUGGGGAUUACGGCCGCAAGGCUUAAACUCAAACGAAUUGACGGGGGCCCGCACAAGCAGCGGAGCGUGUGGUUUAAUUCGAUGCUACACGAAGAACCUUACCUGGGCUUGACAUGUAGGUAGUAGUGAAGCGAAAGCGGAACGACCCUUCGGGGAGCCUACACAGGUGCUGCAUGGCUGUCGUCAGUUCGUGCCGUGAGGUGUCGGGUUAAGUCCCGUAACGAACGCAACCCUUGCCCUUAGUCACAUGUGUCUAAGGGGACUGCCCGGGACAACUGGGAGGAAGGUGGGGAUGACGUCAAGUCAGCAUGGCCUUUAUGUCCAGGGCUACACACACGCUACAAUGGCCGGUACAAUGGGUCGCC